GAUGAACGCUGGCGGCGUGCCUAAUACAUGCAAGUCGAGCGAACAGACGAGGAGCUUGCUCCUCUGACGUUAGCGGCGGACGGGUGAGUAACACGUGGAUAACCUACCUAUAAGACUGGGAUAACUUCGGGAAACCGGAGCUAAUACCGGAUAAUAUAUUGAACCGCAUGGUUCAAUAGUGAAAGACGGUUUUGCUGUCACUUAGAGAUGGAUCCGCGCCGCAUUAGCUAGUUGGUAAGGUAACGGCUUACCAAGGCAACGAUGCGUAGCCGACCUGAGAGGGUGAUCGGCCACACUGGAACUGAGACACGGUCCAGACUCCUACGGGAGGCAGCAGUAGGGAAUAUUCCGCAAUGGGCGCAAGCCUGACGGAGCCACGCCGCGUGAGUGAUGAAGGUCUUCGGAUCGUAAAGCUCUGUUAUUAGGGAAGAACAAAUGUGUAAGUAACUAUGCACGUCUUGACGGUACCUAAUCAGAAAGCCACGGCUAACUACGUG
rnacentral:rRNA from 1 species